GCGCAGCAGUCGAGAAACUUCACAAUGUGCGAAAGCACGAUGAGGGAAUCCCAAGUGCUUGCUCGUAAGAGUAAGCUGUUUCUCUGUCUAAAACGCAGAGAGAGUAAGGGCUGGGUAAGACGGGUGCCAGCCGCCGCGGUAAUACCCGCAGCCCGAGUGGUGGCCACUAUUAUUGGGCCUAAAGCGUCCGUAGCCGGCCCGGUAAAUGCCUGGGUAAAUCGUGAGGCCUAACCUCACGAAUUCCGGGUAGACUGCCGGGCUAGGGACCGGAGGAGGGAGGGGGUACUCCAGGGGUAGGGGUGAAAUCCUGUAAUCCCUGGAGGACCACCGGUGGCGAAGGCGCUCUCCUAGGACGGGUCCGACGGUGAGGGACGAAAGCCAGGGGAGCGAACCGGAUUAGAUACCCCGGUAGU
rnacentral:rRNA from 1 species